GAGGCUUGUCUUAUCUGUUGCUUGCUUGCUUUUGCUGUCUUUGCUUGCCAUGAACUGUUUCUCCUCUGCAAUAUCCCUCUGCCAAGCCACCCUGCCUUGGAGCCAGAUGAUUAUGGACUGAAACCUCUGCAAACUGAAACUCUGGAGACAACAUGCUGGAACAAAUUCAAGAGUCCUUGCUAAAGAAGCCAAGCCUGCAAAACCCUUGGGGUCCACUUCCUUGUAGAGGUGCCCAAGGAUAAAUCACCUCAUGGUUGGAUGAAAACAUAGUACAAGGAACAUAUUAGUCAAUAGGCUGGGGCAGGGGUAAGAUAUUUGCCAUGGAAAAUAGAUUAGUGGCUCCAUUUUAUUUUAAUUUUUGCUUCAAUAUCUGCCAAGGGAUUUCUAGAACAUACUAAAACCAAAACUCUUUCUGGUACGUGGACAAGGAAAUGGAUAUUCAUCGAGUCAUUAUUAAUCCCUGAUGCUGAAGGAUCACACAAAUACACAAACACACUUGGUUCAUCAUUCUCCCUGCUUCUCUAACAUUUUUAGGUUCAUAAAAAAUGGCUGAGAAGUAUUCAAUAGAAGACACUGCAGAUGUUAAAGACAGCCACAAGGGAAGCCUCACUCUAGGUCCUCUGCUGCCAAAAUAUCACAGAGUAAGAUCCACCAAGUGGACAAUUGACUUUCAAGACAAAUUUAUCCAAGUAUGCAGAAGACAUUUGUUUUCAAAGUUCAUCAAAAUUGGAAAUUAGUGUGAAUAUGAGACACUGACAAAGUAAAGUCAAGGUCAGAAGCUCAAUUUAUGUCAUGGAAAACACCUGAGCACAAUUCAUUUCAAUCCAGUUGGUUCAUCAAGUCUUUGUGAGGUCUUAGUCUGUUCUCUCAUUUGUAGAUUAAGGAACUGAGACUCAGAGCGACCAAACAAUUUGCCCAGUUUCCAAGCUAAUUAGUAGUUUGGUGAAACAAAAAUAUGAGUUUUCUCUGACAUCUAUGAAAUGCUCUCGAUACCUGCUACGGUUUGGACCUGAAAUGUCCCUCAAAAGUUCACUAGUUGAAAGCUUGGUGACCAGCAUGUGGUGUUAUUGGGAGGUGGGGCCUACUUGGAGGAAGUAGAUCACUGGGGGUGUGCCCUUGAAGAAUAUGUUUUGUCCGUACUUCCCUCCCCUGCUUCCUGGACAAUAUAAGGUGAGAAGUUUUCCUCAGCCAUGCCCUUCCACCAUUUUGUUCUGCCUUACCAUGAGCCUAGUAGCUGUGGAGGAAUGUGACCAUGGACUGAAACCUCUGAAACCAUGAGCGAAAAUAAACCUUCCCUUCUUUAAAUUGAUUUCCUCUGGUAUUUUGUCACCGUGACAGGAAAGCUAACACAACACCCAAAAUACAACUGAACAUUGCCUCUCAAUGUGGCCCCCACUCUCUCUGAACAAAUGCCAGCUAUAUUCCUAUCAUACUGAAUUUGCAAUCAUUUCUUCAUCUCUCUAGACCACAUACCAUGUUUUAUCCACUUUUUGAUCCAAAGCCUAUGACAACAGCUACCACAUGUUACAGUAUAAAGUAAUACUGCUAAUAACAGUUUCUAACUGCUACUGGGUUCUUGGUUCACACCAGGCCGAUGCUAACUCUAGAACACAUUGCCUCCUUUGAUCCCUAUUAUAUCCUUUGAGCCAAGUACCACUGUUGCUCCCAGUUAAAUUUGGAAAUUGACACCCAGAAAGCAGCGUGCCCAGAAAAUGGCAGAGCUCAGCUUCCUUCUCAGCUCUGUCUGACUAUUCCAUCAAUCUUUGUUCAAUGAGCAAAUGAAGGAAUGAACCUAAUGUCAGGUACCAGGCCC
ensembl:lncRNA